GUUGUGAGGUUAAGCGAACAAGCGUACACGGUGGAUGCCCUGGCAGUCAGAGGCGAUGAAGGACGUGCUAAUCUGCGAAAAGCGCCGGUAAGGUGAUAUGAACCGUUAUAACCGGCGAUGUCCGAAUGGGGAAACCCGGUGCACUUCGGUGCAUCAUCGUUAGCUGAAUACAUAGGCUAACGAGGCGAACCGGGGGAACUGAAACAUCUAAGUACCCCGAGGAAAAGAAAUCAACCGAGAUUCCCCCAGUAGCGGCGAGCGAACGGGGAACAGCCCAGAGCCUGAAUCAGCUUGUGUGUCAGUGGAACGGUCUGGAAAGGCCGGCGAUACAGGGUGACAGCCCCGUACACGAAGGCACACAGGCUGUGAGCUCGAUGAGUAGGGCGGGACACGUGAUAUCCUGUCUGAAGAUGGGGGGACCAUCCUCCAAGGCUAAAUACUCCUGACUGACCGAUAGUGAACCAGUACCGUGAGGGAAAGGCGAAAAGAACCCCGGCGAGGGGAGUGAAACAGAACCUGAAACCGUGUACGUACAAGCAGUGGGAGCCUUCGUAAGAGGGUGACUGCGUACCUUUUGUAUAAUGGGUCAGCGACUUAUAUUCUGUAGCAAGGUUAACCGUAUAGGGGAGCCGAAGGGAAACCGAGUCUUAA
rnacentral:rRNA from 1 species